rnacentral:tRNA from 1 species
GAUUCCGUAGCUCAGCAGGGAGAGCGCCACCUUGACAGGGUGGCGGUCGCUGGUUCGAGGCCAGUCGGGAUCA